CCUACGGGUGGCAGCAGUGGGGAAUAUUGCACAAUGGGGGAAACCCUGAUGCAGCGACGCCGCGUGAGUGAAGAAGCACCUCGGCGCGUAAAGCCCUGUCAGCAGGGAAGAAAAUGACGGUACCUGAAGAAGAAGCCCCGGCUAACUACGUGCCAGCAGCCGCGGUAAUACGUAGGGGGCAAGCGUUAUCCGGAUUUACUGGGUGUAAAGGGGGCGCAGACGGCAAUGCAAGUCAGGAGUGAAAGCCCGGGGCCCAACCCGGGGACUGCUUUGGGAACUGCGUGGCUGGAGUGCAGGAGGGGCAGGCGGAAUUCCUGGUGUAGCGGUGAAAUGCGUAGAUAUUACGAAGAACUCCGGUGGCGAAGGCAGCUUACUAGACUGUAACUGACAUUGAGGCUCGAAAGUGUGGGUAUCAAACAGGAUUAGAUACCCCUGUAGUC
rnacentral:rRNA from 1 species